GAAGACCGUCUUAACGUACCUUUCAGUGUGCAUUGGAAACCUGAAGAAUAGCGAUGCUGACCUAUUACUUUUUAUGGUGCAAUUUGGAGCUGCGCAAAAGUUUGCCAUGGUUUGCUUAUGGUAGUAUAAUGCUUUUCAAAAGUAAUUUACUUCAAUAUUAAUUUAUCCAGAAAUUAGGAAAAAAUGGACUCACACGCAACAGUGCUUUAUGUGGCCUGGAGGAAUCAACGCGACGCGCGAUUAAAUCACGGCCUUCCCACAAUGCUUUGCUAACGUAACUCAGUACGCAUGUUUGUCACUGUCCUGUUCAUAUCACCUCAGGGUUCCAAUACUGAUAUUAGCUUUCCUUGCGCCCUUCGGAUCAACACAUGCCUGCACAACUAUCCACACAAGACAUUUCAAAGGAGUUUUGACAUGGUUCAUGUUUGGCCCUCCGAAACUCGUUAGCCAGACCUCCUCAUCCCACUCAUCCAAAGACUCAGAUCCUCUCCAGGUCUUUGGGAUGGUCAGGCAGGUCCUCCAGGAGAGCAGGGUUCCUCCUGUAGAUGUAAGCACUGGCAUCGUCGUCCAGAUUCACCAGCUCUGCCAGUGAGGACACACAGGUGUCGUGGUCUGUCAGCAUCCCAGGCAGGUGGGAUGACUUGCGCUGGAUACGACAGGAACGACGGACUGGUGUCAGGAACUUCAGAUCUUUGAUGGUGUUUUUUCGCUUGGAACCACUUGCACAUGCUUCAGUGUUGAUUGUUCUCUUAACACUAGAAGGGGAAAGAUAGACAGAAUUGUGUGGUUAGUUGACAGCCAUGUUCAGUUUAAUAUACAUUUCAAUAUAGAGAUGUGAAGUAGUGAUGUUCUCCAUGACCUCCAGUAUUUCCAAUAAUUGUAUGGAAGUGAUUUUAAAAUAGGUAUUUAAGAUAAGAAAUAUCACCUUUGAAGGUAUGGCGUUGUCUUCAGAUUGUAUUUCACUAUGGAGGCUCCCUCUGGUGUAGUCUCCAUCAAGCAUUCGUCAUCAUAAUCACUAUCAACUUCCUCAAUAUAACCCUUCCUUACUUUCUGCUCUGAAGCUCCCUCUCCUACUUCACUUUUCACUUCUUCAGACCUGUCAAAAUUAUUCUCAGCAAACUCAUUCCUCUCUUCAAAUCCAUAAUUUGUCUCAGCCUCCACAAUUUUCUCUUCAGAUUCCUUUUUCUCAUGUGGCUCUAAAAGAAAAAAAGAACACACCAAUGAAUAACACAUGAAUAAAGUUAACAUGAUAAAA